rnacentral:lncRNA from 1 species
GAGAAGAUCAUGGCUCCUUCGUUGCUGCUGCUUUCACUACCAUGGCCGGUGCGUCCCGGACCGCUCCAGAGGUGCUGGGAGCUGCUACAACGGCAACUGCAGCAGAGCUGGAGUCGCUUUGUCAGUCCUCCGUGGGGUCCGUAAGGAGAGAGUUCGUGGAAAGAGGGUUGGUGAGGGCUUCCGGGUUGUAGCGUGGUUUUUGGUUGGUUGAUUGGUUCGUUAUUUUAUUUGUUUGUUUGUUUAUUGGUUAUUUAUUUAUUUAUUUAUUUAUUUAUUUAUUUAUUUAUUUAUUUAUUGAAACUGUCACCGUAGCCAGGGUGGUCUAGAACUCACUGUAUAGCCCAGGCUAGCUUCGUAUUUAUUUAUUUAUUUAUUUAUUUAUUGAAACUGUCACCGUAGCCAGGGUGGUCUAGAACUCACUGUGUAGCCCAGGCUAGCUUCGAGCUCCUGGUAUCUUGGGCGUUAAAUUUGAGAUUGCUGUAUUAUUUACAGUGUAUCGCAAAAGUGAUAAUGCCCAGUCUGAACAGAGAUAUAUUUUAUUAUAUCUCAAGCGCAGCAUAAUAAAUAAUUGUCUCCAUGUUCUACCUGAGAUAAUCAUUUCAGUCCAUUCGUUGUCUAAUAGGCCUGUGCUUGGACAGUUUAUGUAGUGGUAAGAAGUCCUAAGAAUUGAACGAACGUUCGCAAGUCUGAAGAACAUAAGAAAGGGUAAAGAAGUGAUCUAAGCAAUUUAGAAAAACAAAGGUGAAACACUUGAUAAUCUCAUAAAUAAUAAAUCUUUUCUUAGAACACAGGUUAAGAUUAAAUAUUAAGGAAAAAUUUAAUGGCUUUAGGAACCUACCAGGUUUAAAGAAAAAGGACCUAACUGGAUCAGGAUAGUGUGGUACAGAUGACCAUUGUAGUCAUCUCAGUGAUGUGAGUGAAUGUAGGGAGUCUCGGGAUUAGAUUACUUGUACACUACUUAUUACUGAACUGCAGUGUCCCGGAUUAUAUACGGAGGAAAUGCUUAGUAGAGUAGCCUGGCUGCUUUGGUAGCUUGCAAUAAGAAAGCAUUCCAGUUGAAGUAUUUUAAAUUGCCUUUUAUAUGAGCUUUAGUAUAUUUUAAUAGCUGGGGAUUAUUACUAAUGUUUGUUGUGUUUAACAUUCAAAACUAUUUAUGUCAGGCCAGCCAUAUGGCUCAGUAGUAAAGGACCUUGUUGCUAAGUCUCAGGACCUGGGUCCUAGCCCCAUGGCCAGUAUGACGUAAGGAGAGAACUAACUCUGAAAGCUGUCCUCUGACCUUACAUGUGCACAUAUACUCACAAACACAUAUAAUUUAUAGGUGUGUAUAUUUAGUGACACUACACAUGUUGACUGUUAAAGGAAAUAGUGGCUGUAUUCAUUUAGGAACUCCGAGUUGAUUCGGCAUCUCUGUUUUGUUUUAUAGCACCAGCAUUAGCCGUCCAGAGACCAUCCAUCCUCACAGAGCUAGCACAUGAUACUUGUGAAAAUAAAGAGAAUUCCAGCUUUUUAGAUAGUAUCUUUUGGAUGGCAGCUCCCAAAAACAGACGCACCAUCGAAGUUAACCGAUGUAGGAGAAGAAACCCUCAAAAGCUUAUUAAAAUUAAGGUAAUGUGUGAACGGGUGUAGGUGUGUGCACAUACACACUCUCUUCCACAAGUCUAACACUGAAUAGCCCGGUAUUGUAUUUGUGUAGCAGAGAAAACCAGCCUUAUAAUAGUCUUAGCAUCUUGUUUGGCUCAUCAUGGAUAGAUACGUAAUCUAAUUCUUCCUUAAUGUUUUAAGAUACUCUUAAUGAAUCAUCCCAUUGCUUAGAUGGGCUCCUUGUUGGUUAUUAUUUGAAGUUAGAGGACUGAUAGAGCUCUUAAUUCAAAAGUCAAAUGAGAUCAUUACAAACAAUUCUGAAAAAAAUCUCCAAACUUCUUGACUAUGCUUUUAAUUGUUAAUGUGGAAUUCACUACACUCAUAUAAUGAAAAUAUUCUACUCAAGCUGGAGAUUAGACAAAAGAAUUUGAGAAUAGUUUACCCAUAGGCUAUACGAAUAAAAAUAUACCAGAUUGGUAAACUUGAGUUUUAGUCCUAAUUUUCUUACUAAUUUGAACUCAGUGUUGCUAUUUUUUUUUUUUUUUUUUUUUGGUUUUCCUGUUAAAAUAUAUUGUUGAACUAGCUAGUAUAUAGUCUUAUGUAGCACGAACAUUCUCAGAAAGCUACAAUGUCAGCAUGUUAGAGUUCUUGCUGGUGAUUAUGUAUUAUAUUGCUUGUUAUUAAUAUGUUUUUCUUUGUUUUAAAGAACAAUAUAGACAUUUGCCCUGAAUGUGGUCACCUGAAGCAGAAACAUGUCCUUUGUGGAUAUUGCUAUGAGAAAGUACGCCAGGAGACGACAAAAAUCAGACAACAAAUAGGGGCUCAAGAAGGAGGUCCUUUCAGAGCUCCUUCCGUUGAGACUAUGGUGCUGUACACAGGAGAGAAACCAUCAGAAAAGGAUCAGGGCAAGAGGAUUGUUGAAAGAAACAUAAAGAGGCCAUCUUGGUUCACCCAGAAUUGAACUAAAAAAUGUUAAAAAGAUAAUUUCAUAGUUAGGCACUUAUUUAAAAUCAGGAGUCUUCAUUUUCAUGUUGUGCCUGUUUUCAAAUUAUCAAUGUAUUUUAAAAUGGAUUUUGUUAGUUGUUACUUUUAAAUGAGGUAAUUUGAAGACUGUAUCAUGAAUAAACUCAGCAUAUUUAUGUAAAGGCUCAAUGGAUUAAUUUGUGUAUUUCUAUAAUGCUGUUGGGUUUUAAUUAAGCAGUUGUGUCAGUGAGAAAAGAAUUUAGAACAGGUAUGUGGUACACUCAUUUGUAUUCAGGAGUAGAAGCAGGAGGAUAUCUUGAAUUUCAGGCCAGCCAGGAUACAAAGUGAGAUUCUGUCUC